rnacentral:lncRNA from 11 species
UUUGAUGGCACAUUUACUUUUUUACUUUACUUAUCUUUAAAAUUAUUCUGUAUUUUAUUUUAAAAAUAAAAAAAUUGAUGAGAAUAAUUUUUUAUCAUAGGAAAGGAAGAAUGGAUGGAGAAGGUCGAUUACGUAAAGGGGUUGAAGAGGAGUAGAAACAAUUUUUACUUUACUUAUCUUUAAAAAGUGCGAGAAAAUCUACGUAAUACAUAUAUAUAUAUUUUAUAUAAAAAAGUUGAUAAGAAUAAUUUUUUAUCAUAAGAAAGGAAGAAUGGAUGGAGAAGGUCGAUUACGUAAAGGGGUUGAAGAGGAAUAGAAACAAUUUUUACUUUACUUAUCUUUAAAAAGUGCGAGAAAAUCUACGUAAUACAUAUAUAUAUAUGUAUGUAUACAUACAUAUAUGUUGUAAAUACAUAUAUAUAUAUAUAUAUAUUUUAAGCUUCUUUGAUGGAAAGGAAGAAUGGAUGGAGAAGGUAGAUUACGUAAAGGGGUUGAAGAGGAAUGGAGACAAUUUUUAUGUAACUACGUCGAGCUCGACCUGAUAAACUUCCGAUUGCGUAUCCUCUCAAUGCCAGCCGCACGUUCUUUCAACGUAUUGCGUAUUGUGAAGGGAAGCGCAUCGUGAACACUUGUUACACACAUUGUCUCUGAAUUUGGCUCGGCCAUGGCCACGAACACGAUUGACUUCGAUUCAUGAAUCGAUUAUGCGAAUCUGAUCGUCGUGACAAACAAGCGGUCACGUGUCGUCUAAGUGACCGAUAUAGAGAAUUUAUUGUAAUGCUCGAUCGAUACAAAUUUUAAGAUUAUUUUCAUCACUUAAGAUAAAAGAAUAAUAUUUCCUGUUUAAAAUGGCAUUCCAAGAAUGCUGGAGUGUUAUUAAGAAUCGCAACGUAAUUGUGGAUUUGACCGGGAGGAUUUUUUGGCAAUGUAACGAAGUUUUAUCACGCAGAAAUUACACGUCCAGACGUCUUGGUCUAUUUUUAAAAAUUCUAUAUUUCCCGAUUACACCGCUCCUCUAAUUCUUUUGAUUUAUUCCAACUCGCGGGCCGAUCAAUUAAUUACCAGUUAGCGUAUUGCUAACGAGUUUUAGAUUUGAUGAUGAAUCUCGCAAAGUCAUAAAUAAAGAUUGCUUGCCAAAAUUCGGGACAAGAUUUUAUACCAGAGCCAUUCUAAUUACGGAAGAGCGUGUAUGCAUCAUCAUCAUCAUCAUCAUCAACAACAGAUUUCCUCGGAUUCCCUGGCUAUUUUCCUCCCACUUUCGUUAAGAUUUCGAAGAGAAACUGGGAAAUACGUCUGUUAUUUCGGUUGGUAUAGCUCUUUUCUCGUCGUAAUCGCGUAACUAUCCACCAGAGAAGCCUCCGCGACGAUGAACGUCACUCUGUGAUCAAGAAUAAUGGUCCGCGAAGGAAAAGCAAGGAAAGAAAGCGAAGAAAAGGGACCAGCGUUUUCUUGGAACGCUAUUUUCGUUGGACGAGAGAAAAGAAAACAAAGAAAUUGAAGCACAUCCUUGCCAAAGGAUAUAUACUAAUAUUUCAAAAAAUAUAUAUUGUACAAGAAAAAAAGGAACUUAUUCGAAAUUAGAGAAAAUGAAGCGAGAAAUAAAAAAAGAAAAAGAAUAUUUACGAGAUACAAAAACAUUAUUGAAAUGUAAACAAAAUGUUCAUGAAGGGAUACAACAUAGUUUAAAAAAAAAAUAACUAUUUGAAAAGAAAAUAGAAUUUUGUAAAAUUUUUUUCAAGACGAAACUCAAGAGGUAUCUUUGGAAAGGAAAAAAAAUGAUAUUUUAAGAAAAACGAGUAGAAAAGGAAAUAGUGAAAAAGAGAGAGAGAGAGCUUACCGUGGAGCACCAGUCAUCAAUGAACUGUGAUUGGAGAAAGGUCCCCCAUAGUAAUAGGGUAGACCGUCACCGUAGUAAGGCAUCGUGGCGAGUAUUAUCCAAUGGAUUCACGUGUACGGACUUGUCGAAGAUGUGUAAAGUUUUUUAAAGAGGGAGCACGAAUGGAGGAGAUACUCUAUCCUCCGUGGACACGAGCGGUUCGACGCUCUCGAAGACGACUGAGCGCGGCGGCACGGAUCGCCGGCGUUCUCAGGUGUUCGACGAGGCGUUCUCACGGUUCAGGGAGCCAACAUCGACUGAGUCUAAGCGAGCGACCCGGUGUAAUAAUAGAAGUCUAGUAUAUGAGGCUUCCUAGCAUCUAACUAUAUAUAUAUAUUAGCUGGACUCUAAUAACCCGUGCAACGUCUCAAGCUCAUUGCUUCCCUGCAAAUAUUUGUCGAAUUGUAACAUUUACGUGACUCAGAGGUUGGAUCGGUUUUGUAUCUUGUCGAUUGCAAGAGAGACGCGAGACUCGUGUCACUCUUAUUAUUGUUACGAGAUGUUUUAACGAGAUUCUCUCUCCGUUUCGAUUAUCCAUGGUGUUAAAACUUGUUUAAAAAACGAUGAAUUUCGACGAAUCUAUUUGUUUCGCAACGAGAUACGAUAUAAAUUAAAAAGAAAAAUUUUCCAUUAAAGUAUAGGUUAAGUUGGAAACACUUUAUUACCGCCAUGCUGUUAAACGCAUAAUGCGACAUACGACGAGUUUAGGAGAACGUUACGAGAAAUACCAGAAAACUUGCAAUUAUUGAAGCUUGUGGCGCAUGCAUGUCAACCGUGUAAAACGCGCAUUUAUGUGUCAACGGAGUCACGGUUUUCGCGUUGUUUUGUAUUCAAGCAUUGAGUUCCGCGCCAAAUGUUUCUUUUCUCGGUGCCUAUUGUUGCUUGUUCAGAGAAUCUUAGAAAUAGCCAACGAAUGGCGAACGGAUACUAUUUCAAACCAAACGAGUAAUUUUAACUUGGAACAUUAAAAUAUUGAAAAGUAAAAUUUUUUUUUUAGGAAAAAUUAUAAUUAAUAGUAACGAAUUUUUUAAACGAACAGUACGAAUUUUAUGCCGAGAAAAUUUUAAAUUCAAGGUGCAUCAAGAGUGAUAAAAAAAAUGGAUGGAUUGAAUACGAGAUUGAAAUUUUUUACGUACCGUCGCAUCUGACACCUUGUCGAAAAAAGCCGUAUAACAUGGAACCACAAUGAUCACAAAACGUCGGAGACAUAAAUGUGUGAAGGCGAAAUCUGUGAGGCACAUCUACCUUGAAACGCUCCCUCAAGUACUGCACAAUAUUGAACAAGUAUUUUAACAGAAUUAGACCGAUUCUGCGUGGGACUAGGUAUUGCGUUACUUCUGACAAAUGGCAUAGCAUAGAGAUAUAUAGAGUGACAAUAUUUUUUAUAAAAAUAAAUAUCGAGCGAUUUAAACAAAAAUGUAUAAAAAUACUGUGUCUAAUAAUUUGCAGAUACAUUUGUGAAAAUGGACUUUGGUGUAAAUUGCUGGAAGAGCCGAAUGUUUUCAAAAAACAUUCACAAUUUGGUGAAACUUAGUGUUGCAUCAUGAAGUAAAUAUGUAUAUACGUAUAAAAGUUCAAAAAUAAACAUAAAUUUUAACAUACGAGGAUAAUGUUAGAAACAAUCUUGUUUUCCACGGUCAAAUAUCUGGAUGAAUUACACAUCAUUUUGAAUAAACAAGCAAACACAGUUUAUUCGAGUUCUACAUUCCUUGGUACAAACUUGUACCAAGAAACACAGAUCUCGGUUCUCGUUAAAGGAAAAAUUGGAUAAAUUGUAAACCAUCGAUCGUCACUAUAUCUUGCAAGAAAAAUUUCACUCGUUCGAAAUUCGAAUUGAACAUGAAACAGAAAUUGGAGAAUUGAUGAAGAGCAAAUACUUACUAUCGUGUUCUCGGAUUGCUUGCCACUUUCCGGGCACUUGGUUAACAAUUUAUCAUGGCACUUCUUAUGCACCGCUGUUUGGCAGGCUGAAACGCAGGAUAGAAUAUUAAUAGAAAUGCAACGUGGUAAAGGCAGAAAAACCGCAGUUCGCGAUUUAAUAUUUACCUUGGCACUGGUAUCCUUGCUUCCCAAAGCCCCUAUGACAUAGAGUACACUUUGCAUUAAUUGGAAAAUAUAAUCGUGGAAAUCGUUGGCCGAUAUUUGAAUAAUGCGCCCGGAAAAUGCAGUCGAAAGUUAUUUUUAGAUAAACCGCGCAUACAUCAAAGCGGCCAUCUUUUAUGAUAAAUCAAGAUUCUUCGAUCGCUAUAUAUUAUCGGGAUGAAGAUGGACUUUACCAAAGAAAAUCCUUGCAAAAAGCGCAGAAUGUUGGUUGACUGAAGAAUUUUGCAACUAAUUUGUGACCUCGAACCACAUGCACUUUGUUGUGUUUCACCGCGCCUCUUCUUUUUGUAAUUGCUCCCCCACCGAUAUUAUUCGUUUCACGUGGAGAAGAUCCAACUACAAUGUCCCUUCGAGGAACCCUGGUUUUGUACACAUACGUCUUCCCUAUAGAGCUUGCUGGUGGAAGAUCCGUUGGAUUUAGUAUUGGAAUUCUAGUCCUGGAAUCACCAUACAUUGUAUCUUUCUUUUUUUUUCUUAGUUUUUGUUCAAACCAAAGUUUCUUUUAAUGGAUGAAAUUCACUCACUCAUUUAUGUAUAACAGAUAUGUUUCAUUUAUACUUUGUAUAAUGGAAAAUCCUAACUAUUUUUGUUGAUAA